rnacentral:rRNA from 1 species
AUUGAACGCUGGCGGCAUGCCUAACACAUGCAAGUCGAGCGGAUGAAUCGUGCUGACUCCUUGAUUCCGCUGCGGACGAGGGAGUAAGGCCUAGUAAGCUGCCUGGUAGUAAGGUAUAACUUCCGGGAACGGGCGCUAAUGCCGCAUACGUCCUUAGGGAGUAAGUGUUUAUUCUUCGUACCUCACGCGAUCAGAUGACCCUACGUCGGAUUAGCUAGUUGGUGGGGUAAAGGCCUACCAAGGCGACGAGCCGUAACUGGUCUGAGAGGAUGAUCAGUCACACUGGAACUGAGACACGGUCCAGACUCCUACGGGAGGCAGCAGUAGGGAAUAUUCGGCAAUGGGCGAAAGCCUGACCCAGCAAUGCCGCGUGUGUGAAGAAGGUUUUCGGAUUGUAAAGCACUUUAAGUUGGGAGGAAGGGGAGCAAGAGAAACUGUUGCUGUCUUGACGUUACCAAACGAAUAAGCCACGGCUAACUUCGUG